rnacentral:rRNA from 1 species
CAGUAGCCGCGGUAAUACGUAGGGUGCAAGCGUUAAUCGGAAUUACUGGGCGUAAAGCGUGCGCAGGCGGUUUGUUAAGACAGAUGUGAAAUCCCCGGGCUCAACCUGGGAAUGGCAAUGGAUACUGGCGAGCUAGAGUGUGUCAGAGGAUGGUGGAAUUCCCGGUGUAGCGGUGAAAUGCGUAGAGAUCGGGAGGAACAUCAGUGGCGAAGGCGGCCAUCUGGGACAACACUGACGCUGAGGCACGAAAGCGUGGGGAGCAAACAGGAUUAGAGACCCCAGUAGUCCCUGUCUCUUAUAU